rnacentral:rRNA from 1 species
CCCUUAGAUGUUCUGGGCCGCACGCGCGCUACACUGAUGCAUUCAACGAGUUUCUUCCUGGUCCGAGAGGAAUGGGUAACCUUUUGAAAGUGCAUCGUGAUAGGGAUAGACUAUUGCAAUUAUUGGUCUUCAACGAGGAAUUCCUAGUAGACGUAGUUCAUCAGACUGCAUGGAUUACGUCCCUGCCCUUUGUACGCACCGCCCGUCGCUCCUACCGAUUGAAUGCUCAGGUGAGCCAUUCGGACUUUCAUCAUGCUGGUUUCCAGUUUUGAUGAAGGAAAGUCUUGCGAACCUUAUCAUUUAGAGGAAGGAGAAGUCGUAACA